rnacentral:rRNA from 1 species
UAAUACGGAGGGUGCAAGCGUUGUCCGGAUUCAUUGGGUUUAAAGGGUGCGCAGGCGGGACAUUAAGUCAGGGGUGAAAGACGGUUGCUCAACAAUCGCAGUGCCUUUGAUACUGGUGUUCUUGGGUAACCUUGAGGUAGGCGGAAUGGGUGGUGUAGCGGUGAAAUGCAUAGAUACCACCCAGAACUCCGAUUGCGAAGGCAGCCUACUGGAGGUCAACCGACGCUCAGGCACGAAAGCGUGGGGAUCAAACAGGAUUAGAUACCCUGGUAGUCCACGCCGUAAACGAUGAUCACUCGCUGUGGGGGAGCAUUCCUCCGCGGCUUAGCGAAAGCGUUAAGUGAUCCACCUGGGGAGUACGCUCGCAAGGGUG